UAGAACUCGGCUGGCUUUAUAGCUUUGGGGU
rnacentral:piRNA from 1 species